GCUGGCGGCAGGCCUAACACAUGCAAGUCGAGCGGAAACGACACUAACAAUCCUUCGGGUGCGUUAAUGGGCGUCGAGCGGCGGACGGGUGAGUAAUGCCUAGGAAAUUGCCUUGAUGUGGGGGAUAACCAUUGGAAACGAUGGCUAAUACCGCAUAAUGCCUACGGGCCAAAGAGGGGGACCUUCGGGCCUCUCGCGUCAAGAUAUGCCUAGGUGGGAUUAGCUAGUUGGUGAGGUAAUGGCUCACCAAGGCGACGAUCCCUAGCUGGUCUGAGAGGAUGAUCAGCCACACUGGAACUGAGACACGGUCCAGACUCCUACGGGAGGCAGCAGUGGGGAAUAUUGCACAAUGGGCGAAAGCCUGAUGCAGCCAUGCCGCGUGUAUGAAGAAGGCCUUCGGGUUGUAAAGUACUUUCAGUUGUGAGGAAGGGUGUGUAGUUAAUAGCUGCGCAUCUUGACGUUAGCAACAGAAGAAGCACCGGCUAACUCCGUGCC
rnacentral:rRNA from 1 species